rnacentral:rRNA from 1 species
GACGAACGCUGGCGGCGUGCUUAACACAUGCAAGUCGAGCGGUAAGGCCCUUUCGGGGGUACACGAGCGGCGAACGGGUGAGUAACACGUGGGUGACCUGCCCUCAGCUCUGGGAUAAGCCUGGGAAACCGGGUCUAAUACUGGAUAUGACUCCAUGACGCAUGUUGUGGGGUGGGAAGCCUUGUGCGGCUGAGGAUGGGCCCGCGGCCUAUCAGCUUGUUGGUGGGGUGAGGCCUACCAAGGCGACGACGGGUAGCCGGCCUGAGAGGGCGACCGGCCACACUGGGACUGAGACACGGCCCAGACUCCUACGGGAGGCAGCAGUGGGGAAUCUUGCGCAAUGGGCGAAAGCCUGACGCAGCGACGCCGCGUGAGGGAUGACGGCCUGGUGUAAC